GGACCUUUAGCUCAGCUGGUCAAAGCAAACGGCUCACAACCGUUCGGUCAUAGGUCGAAUCCUACAAAAUCCA
rnacentral:tRNA from 1 species